rnacentral:rRNA from 1 species
GGGGACGUGGCGGGGUGCUAUACAUGCAGUCGAGCGAAUUGAUGGGAGCUUGCUCCCUGAUAUUAGCGGCGGACGGGUGAGUAACACGUGGGUAACCUGCCUGUAAGAUUGGGAUAACUCCGGGAAACCGGAGCUAAUACCGGAUAACAUGUUGAACCGCAUGGUUCAACAUUGAAAGAUGGCUUUUGCUAUCACUUACAGAUGGACCCGCGGCGCAUUAGCUAGUUGGUGAGGUAACGGCUCACCAAGGCAACGAUGCGUAGCCGACCUGAGAGGGUGAUCGGCCACACUGGGACUGAGACACGGCCCAGACUCCUACGGGAGGCAGCAGUAGGGAAUCUUCCGCAAUGGACGAAAGUCUGACGGAGCAACGCCGCGUGAACGAUGAAGGCCUUCGGGUCGUAAAGUUCUGUUGUUAGGGAAGAACAAGUACCAGAGUAACUGCUGGUACCUUGACGGUACCUAACCAGAAAGCCACGGCUAACUACGUGCCAGCAGCCGCGGUAAUACGUAGGUGGCAAGCGUUGUCCGGAAUUAUUGGGCGUAAAGCGCGCGCAGGUGGUUUCUUAAGUCUGAUGUGAAAGCCCACGGCUCAACCGUGGAGGGUCAUUGGAAACUGGGGAACUUGAGUGCAGAAGAGGAAAGUGGAAUUCCAAGUGUAGCGGUGAAAUGCGUAGAGAUUUGGGAGGAACACCAGUGGCGAAGGCGACUUUCUGGUCUGUAACUGACACUGAGGCGCGAAAGCGUGGGGAGCGAACAGGAUUAGAUACCCUGGUAGUCCACGCCGUAACGAUGAGUGCUAAGUGUUAGAGGGUUUCCGCCCCUUUAGUGCUGCAGCAAACGCAUUAAGCACUCCGGCCUGGGGGAGUACGGUCGCAAGACUGAAACUCAAAGGGAAUUGACGGGGGCCCGCACAGCGGGUGGGAGCAUGGUGGUUUAAUUCGAAGCAACGGCGGAGGAACCUUACCAGUCUGACAUCCCACUGCCGGUAUAGAGGAUGUACUUCCACGGGGGACGGUGGUGACUGUGAUGCAUGAUGUUCGUCAGCCUCGUGUCAUGGAAAUGUUAGGAUUCAGUCCCGCCACGAGCCAAGCAUGGAUGUGACUGCCAGGCCAAUA